GCCCAGGUGACGGAAUUGGCAGACGCACUAGUUUCAGGGACUAGCGAGGGCAACCUUGUGCAGGUUCGCCCCCUGUCCCGGGCACCA
rnacentral:tRNA from 1 species